CCUAAUAUUUACCAUACAAGAAAGGUGAAAUUUUCCAUAUGGGGUUAAUUACUAAUCAUAAUUAGGGUAAGUAAUAAUAUUUAUUGACAUAAUUAGGGUUUUGUGGCAUAAGUUGUAAAUAUGUGAUAAUAAUUGGUUACAUAUUUGUCUACAUGGUAUUCUAUUUGAAAUUUGGGUUUUAUUUGGAUAUUUAAUAUUAGGUGGGUUUUUGUUUGGAAAAUAAGAGUUUCAAGGGCCAUUUUCUAAAGAACCCUUUAUUUUAUGGUUAGUUUUCAUUUUAAAAUAUCAGAAAAAAUAUAAACAGAAAUGUAUGGUCGAUAAACGAAAGAUAAUGUAUAAAAUAAGAACGUCGAAAGAAAAGUAGUUUGUUUAGAUCUUAAUUUAUCGUUUUAGUAAUGUAUAAUAUUUUACCCUACUCUCUCAUUCCAAUCCUUCCUUCUUUUCUCUUUUCUUAUUUUUACUAUACAUUUUGCUUUAAUCUUUAACUAAAGCAAUAAAAAAAUAAGAUAAGAUAUUAGUUUCUUAAGAGAAAUGGUGACUUGUGAGCCUUAACCUCUUCAAUAUUCUAGAAAGUGGACUUUAUUAUUGAUUUUAAAAGUUUAUAAGUGGACACAAUUGAUGAUAGCGACUUUGAGAGUCUCCUUCAUUAUAUUUAAGAUUUUAUUUUGGCUACAUAGCAUGACUUAGCCAAUUGAUGGUUCCUCAAAGUCUCCCUCAAUAUAAUUUAGAUUCGUAUAAAUAGAAUAAUACUAUUUAGUCUAAAAACUUAUUUGAAAGUGUUGAAAAUACUUUUGGUGAAAGUGUUUUAAAACUAAUCAUUACUAAAAAUGCAAGCAAAUUGUAAAAAAAGCACUUGAAGUGCUUUUAAAACUAAAAUAUAAUUUUACCAAAACAGUUUUCAGCCAUUUUAAAAGUAUUUCCAAACAAAGUCUAAAACAAUUAUAAUUAUAAGUUCUUAUUCAAUAAAUCUUGAGAUUCCUCCCAUAUUUGCUGGUGGGUUUCAAAAUUUAUACUGCUUGAUUUCAAGGCUCAGACUAACGAUGAUUGUUAAUCAACCACUUGAUGUCCGAACUUGCAUAAUUUCACGUGUUGAAAACUUGAAAAAUAAGUUAUAAUAUUUAUCAUUAAUGAUAUCGAGACUUCUAUGAUAAAACUCGCACGCAUAACGUGAAGUGUAUGUAAUAAUAUGCAAUUUGAAGGACAAUAUCAUAGCGGUUAUUAAGGGCAUGCUAGCCUAUCUCUAUGAAAUCUUGACAACAUGUGUGGAGUUUAUUUAGGUUCCACCAAAAAUAUCAGCAUAAUCCGACAAGUAGGCCGAAAUAUCGACAUAUUAUUACAAAAUUCUUACAGUUCCACUAUUUCGACAACUCCUAAAGUAUUGUCAACAAUCUAGGAAGUGGUGGAUUACCCUAAUGAUUAGAGCCUUCAUCUUCAACUCCCUAUGUCCCGAGUUCAAACUUUUCCUCAUUCCAAGAGUGAGAGUUAAGUAUGUUAAGAUGAACCCUUCUAAUGAAAAUUUGAAAUUACCCCUUAAAACCGUUGUCCUAAUAUAAUCAGGCGUAAAUUAAUCCAUGUUUCAUGUGCAUUUAACAUUGUUUACGAUUUUUCAUUUACACUAAAUCCGAUAUUUAGCUGCAUUGAAUCAUUUUUGAAUUUCUAUGUGGUUAAUGUAACAAUUAAACUUUAAUUGCUUGUAACAAAAAUAUACCUAUUAACCUUAGUUUUUUUUUCAACAAUUAAGGAUACAAAUCAUGCUACUUAGGUAAACACUAUUAAAAUUUCUUAUUUAGUUUUUUUGCACUUAAAGAAAAUAUUUUUUUAUCAUUUGCAAGAAGUUUAAUCAAGAGUGGCAAUAAGCUAACUGGAUAAAGCUACCCUUUACAUGUAGGAAAGCAAGCAUCUCCAGUCUUGGUCUAAAAGGCUCCUUUUUUAUGGCGUAGGAGGAAGUCCACUCCUCAAUGCAAUAAUUUCCCGGACAACUGGGCAAUAGGCAAUUAUUGUUUUAGUAAAUAAUAACAAUUCGAGUGUAUUUUUAUAUAGUAAUUGAAUUGCUUGGGCAAUUGUUAUUAUUAUUAUUUUUAAAUUAAUAAAAGGAUGAUAUUAAGUUUAAUUUCAGAUAAGAUUUUCAACUGAUCUCGUCACGUCACGUGUUAUCAUUUGAAAUUAUAAUUUUUGUGGAUAGAUUUUAGAUAAGAUUUUUAACUAAUAUGUAGCGUCACGUGUUAUGAUCCGGUAUGAAUUUUGAAAAUAUUGAGAUGUAGUGUAGGAUGGAAGAGGAUGGUUGGGUAAUUCUAGGAAAUUGUUUUUUUUUUUCUUUUCAUUUUUGUGUAUUUUUAAUUUUUUAAAAUUUUAUCUAACUGAAUUAAUAUGGACCGUUAGAUUAAUACCUUUUUGCAAUUUAACAACCCAGAUUGUGGACCCCAACGACUAUAUCCCACAUUUUCAUUUUUUUUUUAAUUCUUAACCCUAAAAAUGUCACAUAUUUUUUAUUUAAAUCUACACUUAAAUGAUGGGAAACCCUAAAAAUAUCUGCUUGAUUUGGACUGAGUGUGCU
rnacentral:lncRNA from 1 species